CCUACGGGAGGCAGCAGUGAGGAAUAUUGGUCAAUGGACGAGAGUCUGAACCAGCCAAGUAGCGUGAAGGAUGACUGCCCUAUGGGUUGUAAACUUCUUUUAUAUGGGAAUAAAAUGUUCCACGUGUGGGAUUUUGUAUGUACCAUAUGAAUAAGGAUCGGCUAACUCCGUGCCAGCAGCCGCGGUAAUACGGAGGAUCCGAGCGUUAUCCGGAUUUAUUGGGUUUAAAGGGAGAGUAGGUGGAUUGUUAAGUCAGUUGUGAAAGUUUGCGGCUCAAGCGUAAAAUUGCAGUUGAAACUGGCAGUCGUGAGUACAGUAGAGGUGGGCGGAAUUCGUGGUGUAGCGGUGAAAUGCUUAGAUAUCACGAAGAACUCCGAUUGCGAAGGCAGCUCACUGGACUGCAACUGACACUGAGGCUCGAAAGUGUGGGUAUCAAACAGGAUUAGAUACCCGUGUAGUC
rnacentral:rRNA from 1 species